CGGGAUGAUGAAGCCGAGAUAGGAAGUGCCGUCAGAUGCGACAACUGACGAAAGACUCCUCGUGGCUGACC
ensembl:snoRNA